rnacentral:lncRNA from 1 species
AUGAAAGAAACGAUCAUGAACCAGGAAAAACUCGCCAAACUGCAGGCACGAAUGCGCAUUGGUGGGAAAGGAACUGCUCACAGAAAGAAGGUGGUGGUUCAUAGAACAGCCACAGCAGAUGUUCAAAAACUUCAGUUCUCCUUAAAGAAGUGAGGGGUAAACAAUAUCUCUGGUAUUGAAGAGGUGACUAUGUUUACAAACCAAGGAACAGUGAUCCACUUUAACCACCCUAAGGUUCAGGCAUCUCUGGCAGCGAACACUUCACCAUUACAGGCCAUGCUGGGACAAAGCAGCUGACAGAAAUGCUAGCCAGCGUCUUAAACCAGCUUGGUGCAGACAGUCCGUCUAGUUUAAGGAGACUGGCUGAAGCUCUGCCCAAACAAUCUGUGGAUGGAAAAGCACCACUUGCUACUGGAGAGGAUGAUGGUGAUGAUGAUGAAGUUCCAGAGCUUGUGGAGAAUUUUGAUGAGGCUUCCAAGAAUGAGGCAAACUGAA